GGUAAAAUAGCCUAAUUUUUGUUUUAGAAACCCUAGAAUUUUGAGUAAUGUUUCAAACUAGAGCUUCACUUCCGUGAUUCAAUGCGUUUAGGGUUUCUAUUUACGCAUUUCGAUUGAAUGCUUAUGGAUUUACGUGGUAUUCACAGAUAUCAUCUUUUUUGCGUCGAUGGGAGGGGCUGUAGAUAUUUAGGUAGGAAUGCAUGGAUGUAGCUCAGGAUCUGCGCUCUUAGUAAAUGCUGAGGUUGAUUUCAUGGGAAGGGUUGUUGAUGGUGGAGUUGGGAUUGGUGUCAAAACCUCUCCACGCAGAUCAGCCAUUGAGCAGGCUCAAGCAGAACUGAGGCAGGAGUAUGAUGUUCGUGAGGAAAGGAGAAGGGAACUAGAUUUUCUUGAGAAAGGUGGAAAUCCCUUGGAUUUUAAAUAUGGCAAUGCAGCUUCAGUUAGUGUCCAAUCUACUUCUCUCACUGAUCAGCAUGCACAACUUUUUGUUACCAGUGAAGCAAAAGGUAGUUUUGCACAGUCUGCUUCAGCUUAUGGCGAUUCAGUAGAGAGUAGUGGUAGACCAGGGGUUCCUGCAGCUUGUGAACCCAAUAGUGCUGACAAUCUCUUACUUUUUGAUGGUGAAAAUGAGUUGCCUGAAGGUGAAAGGAAGUCUAUGCAUUCUCGUAAGAGGAACACUGUUGUUCCAUCAGAGCAAUCUUCACAUAUGGAAGGGACUCAAAAUGUUAAGGAGUCUGAAGAUUCGACUAUUUUUCGCCCAUAUGCUCGAAGGUACAGGUCCAAAAUCAAACGAGAGGGUGGCCGAUCAAGUUCAACAGAUAUUGUCCAGGGUCGAGCUGGUCAUGGCUCUUCUUUACCUGCUCGUGGAGCAUCAAAGGAUGUGAAGGCUUCAACGUCUGAACCAAAUAACCAAAAGGACAAAAACAUUUCCUCUGUUACUACCGCAAAAUCUGCUACUUCUAAUGGUGAUUUGGCUUCAAAUGUAAUAACUUCUGAUGAUCAGUUAAAUAUGGAGUUGGAUGGUGGGAAGCCUGUGGAAGAAACGACUGGUCAUUCAAAGGGUGAUCAAUUUGAAAGAAAGGUUGAUGUCAUAGCUUCCAAAACAUUGAUAGAUGACCUGCCUAAGGAACCUGCUAUGAUGGAAGCUCAUAAAUCUCCAGUUAGUUUGGCUUUUGAGGAACCUAAUCUUGUUGUAGGGAAGGAGCAGGUAGUUUCAGCAAGUCUUGAACGCUCACCUGGUACUGGUGCAACAAAACCUGAAAAUGAAACUAGUUCUCAUCAGCUAAAUGGGGUUGCUGAUGCUAAAAUAGAUAGGAAAAACAUAUCAAAUGAAGAGCAAAAUAGCAGUGUGGCAAUAGGGACAAAGGGCUUGGAUAUGGAGUCAUCUUCUACUAAAAACAGCUUAAGCUUAGAUGUAAAUAACGAUAAUGAAGCGUGUAUUAACCCCAAAAAUGUUGAUUCUAAUGUAAAUCCCUUGGAACACACAUCAGAAAAAGAAGAGUCACCAGCCUUAGCUGUCGGUGAAUCAGCAAAAGAAAAGAAUGAGAUCAAGGUUCUUGAUAAUGCUGCUGUCAUUUGUGAUGCUAAUAAUUCCAUGAAUCAGAACCACUCACUUAAUGAUUCUACUGUCAAAGUGGAGGAAGUAAGAUCUGAAUUGCAAAUUGAGAUAAGCUGUCCUUCCAACAAUGAGGUGAUACAAAGCAAUGAUGCUGAAUCAGAAGCUGAUAGGAAAGUUAGUACUGUGCAGGGUGAUAAUUCUAACUCCAACAUAGAAAAAGCUUGUGCUAGUAGGCCCCAAGGCACAAUGGAUAACUUUAUGUGUGAGAUUCCUGAGAUGACUUUCUCAGGAAUAACCUGUACUGAUAAUGCUGAUACACAAACUAGUUUGGAAAAUCAUGUGGAAGUGGUGGACAAGGCACGUGAAGAUUCCAUUUUGGAAGAGGCACGGAUUAUAGAGGCUAAGCGGAAAAGGAUUGCAGAGCUGUCUGUUGGUACCUUACCUUUGGAGAACAGCCGGAAAUCUCACUGGGACUUUGUCCUUGAGGAAAUGGCAUGGUUAGCAAAUGAUUUUGCUCAGGAGCGUCUUUGGAAGAUGACUGCUGCUGCUCAAAUAUGCAGACGUGUUGCUUUUACUUCACAAUUUAAAUUUGAAGAACAAUGUCGAUAUUGGAAACUCAAAAAAAUAGCUUUAACCCUUGCUAAUGCUGUCAUGGACUUUUGGCAUUCGGCAGAGGUUCUUCUAACUAGUAAGGAUGCAAAUCUUGGUCUAAAAACCUGUGGCCAUGACUUGAAGGGGUCAAGGGCCAAUAAAGUUACUGAGAUCACAACUACCGAACUAGAUAUGGCUGCAAAGGAGUGCCAGCAGCACACUGGAAAGAACAAUGGAUUUGCUAUCCGGGCAUAUGCUCUUAGAUAUUUGAAAUAUAAUAGUUCCCCUGUUCCAUCACUCCUAGCUGAAGCACCAGCAACUCCUGACAGGAUAUCUGACUUGGGCAUUAUGGACAUUUCUUGGGAUGAACACCUAACAGAAGAAAACCUGUUCUAUGCAGUUCAUUCUGGAGCUAUGGAAACCUACCGAAGAUCUAUUGAAUCUUAUAUGGUACAGACUGAGAAAACUGGAAGUACUGUGCAAGAGGAGGUUGAAACAUCUGCUUAUGAUGCUAGAGCAGAGUUUGGAUAUGAUGACUCUGUGUAUGAUGAGGAUGAAGGAGAAACAAGUACAUAUUAUUUGCCUGGAGCCUUUGAGGGGAGACAAUCAUCAAAAUUAAACCAUAAGAAGCGAAAGAACCCAAUGAAAUCAUAUCCUGCAACACAAUAUAAAGUGGGUGCUGAUUUGCCAUACGGAAAUUGCGGCCAACCAUCCAUUUUCAUGGGAAAAAGGCCUGCCAGUAGUCUAAAUGAUGGUUUAGUUCCUGCGAAACGUGUGCGCACUGGCUCCAGGCAGAGGGUUAUAAGUCCAUUUAGCAGUGCAGCAGCUGCCAGGGAUUCACAGGCUCCAACACAAACUGAUGCUUCUAGUGGAGAUACUAAUUCUUUUCAGGAUGAACAGAAUACAUUGCAUGGAGGAUUACGGACCCAAAACAGCUUGGAGGUUGAUUCAAUUGGGGACUUUGAAAGGCAGCAACCAUAUGAUUGUGCAGGAACACCAACAAAACCUAAAAAGAAGAAAAAGGCCAAAAAUCUUGGUUUGGCAUACAAUCAGGGUUGGCAGCUGGAGUCUCCUGUUCACAGUGAACAGAGGGAUUAUUUGAAAAAGAGACCAGAGAGUCAUCAUUUUGAUUCUAAUGGAACCAGUGGUUUAUAUGGACAACAUAAUGCCAAGAAGUUGAAGAUAAUGAAGCAUCAGCCUGAUAGUGCUUAUGACAUCACUCCAAAUGGAUCCAUCCCUUCACCAGUAGGGUCCCAAAUGAGUAAUAUGCCCAACCCAAGCAAAAUCAUUAGAUUAAUUCAUGGUAGUGACAAGGGCAGAAAAGUCAAAACGCCUAAGAUGUCUACUGGUCAGCUUGCUUCUGGUAGUCCAUGGUCACUACUUGAAGAUCAGGCACUUGUUGUCCUUGUACAUGACAUGGGUCCAAAUUGGCAGCUUGUAAGUGAUGCCAUCAACAGUACCCUUCAGUUUAAGUGCAUAUUCCGCAAGCCUAACGAAUGUAAGGAACGCCACAAAAUUUUAAUGGAUAGGAGUGGAGAUGGAGCUGACAGUGCUGAUGAUUCAGGGUCCUCACAGCCAUAUCCAUCGACAUUGCCUGGCAUUCCGAAGGGAAGUGCCAGACAGUUGUUUCAACGUUUGCAAGGGCCGAUGGAAGAGGAUACUUUGAAGUCUCAUUUUGAGAAAAUUAUACUAAUUAGCAAGAAGCAGAACUAUUGGCGGAGUCAGGAUUUGAAGCAGAUAGUUCCGGUCCAUAAUUCUCAUGUAGCUCUUUCACAAGUCUGCUCAAAUAACUUAAAUGGAGGGGUUUUAACGCCUCUAGAUCUUUGUGAUGCCACUGCAUCAAGCCAAGAUGUUCUACCCUUUGGAUGUCAGGCUUCUUAUGUUAGUGGUUUAGCAAUGUUGAAUCAAGGAGAUGUGGGAUCAAGGCUUCCUGCCUCUGGAGGAAAUUCCUCACUGCAGGGAUCUUCUAGCAUGGUUCUUGGAAAUAAUUUAUCAUCACCAUCUGCCCCACUCAAUGCAGCUGUGAGGGAUUGUAGAUAUGGUGUUCCUAGAACAUCUUUACCAGCUGAUGAGCAGCAUAGAAUCCAACAAUAUAAUCAAAUGUUAUCUGGCAGGAAUGUUCAGCAGUCCAACUUAUCUCUCGCCGGGUCUGUUUCUGGAUCAGAACGUGGUCGUAUGCUACCUGCUGCAAAUGGUGUGGGCAUGAUGUGUGGGGUAAAUAGAAGCAUGCCAAUGUCAAGGCCGGGCUUCCAAGGAAUGGCAUCAUCAGCAAUGCUGAAUUCUGGCAGCAUGCUGUCCUCCAAUAUGGGGGGAAUGCCAAGCCCUGUCAAUAUGCCCUCUGGGCCAGGUUCUGGUCGAGCCAAUUCAAUGUUAAGACCUCAUGACACCACACACCUGAUGCGAUCUGGCCCCAAUCCAGAGCAUCAAAUGCAAAUGGCACCUGAGCUCCAAAUGCAGGCUCAAGGGAACGGCCAGGGAAUUCCUGCUUUCAAUGGGUUGACUUCUGCUUACCCUAAUCAUCCUCAGCAGCAGCAGCAAACGCCUCCACAGCAGUCUCGUGCACCGAGUAAAUCUCAUCAUGCGGAUCUUCAGGGUUCUAAUCAUGCUACUGGGUCACAACAGCAAGUGUAUGCCAUGCGCUUAGCUAAAGAAAGGCAAAUGCAGCCGCAGCAGCUUCAUGUGCAUCAGCAACAACAGCAGCCACUGCAACCGUUUGCUGCAUCCAGCACUUUGAUGCCACAGGUUCAACCUCAGGCCCAACUUCCUAUCUCUUCUCUUCAGACUAGUUCCCAGAUUCAAUCUCAAGCUUCAAAUCAGCCAGUAUCACUCCCGUUGACACCAUCUUCACCAAUGCCUCCUACUUCAAUUCAGCGGCAACAGAAACACCAGUUGUCCCCUCAUGGGCUUGGUAGAAAUCCCCAACCUGGUGCUAGUGGGUUGAACAAUCAGGUAGGCAAGCAACGGCAGCGGCAGUCAUUGCAGCAGCAGUUUCAACAGUCUAGCAGGCACCAUCCUCAGCAACAUCAACAAACGCAGUCUCAACAGCAAUCUAAACUUUUGAAGGGAGGGGGAAGAGGACUGAUGCAUCAGAACGUUUCUGCUGACCAUGCUCGUCUGAAUGGCGUUAGCAUGGCCCCUGGCAACCAAGGUUCCAAGAAAGGAGAGCAUAUGAUACAAAGUCAAGGCUUGUAUUCUGGGCCAGGAGUGAGCCCUGUCCAACCAUCUAAGCCUGUAGUUUCUUCUCAACCUUUGACCCAUUCCCAGCCGCAGCAAAAGGUAAUGCCUGGGGCAGCAGCGCUUUCUACAAAGCAACUCCAGCAGAUGGCUUCCCAUUCCGAUAAUAGUUCUCAAGGCCAGGUUUCCACAGUGCCUUCUGGUCGUACACUAUCAGCUGUGCAUCAACCUGUGCUGCCAGGAGCUAUGGGUUCACACCACCAGCACUUGCAGCUGCAAUCACAGCUGCACCAAAAGCAGGCUAAUCAAAACCAACCGAGCGUUCAAAAGAUGCUUCAACAGAAUCGACAAACAAAUUCUGAUCCUUCCAGCAAAUCUCAAGCUGAGCCAGCUCAAGCUGACCAACAGCCUAGGAAUAAUGCCUCACAGAUGGGUACAACCACAACAUCGGCAAUGCAUCAGGCUGGCCCUGAUUUAGUUAAUAACAUGGUACCGGUUGUUUCUCCUUCUGUUGGUGGUUCUCUGUGGAAAUCACCAGAAGCAGUGUAUGAUCCUGGUAUGCCAAAUGUGGCCACUCAAGUGGGAUCCAUAGGCAAUGCUCCUCUUACAACUUCAACUGGUAGUGAUCCAGGACCUUCUGUCAGCCAAGGGCUAGGGCAGAGACAAUUAUCUGGCGGCUUACCCCAUCUUGGAAGUAAUUCUGGGGCACAAUGGUCGCACCAGCCACAGAUACAACAAUCUUCCACUCCACCAUCAUCUCAACAACACUACCAGCCACCAGAGCAAUUACAACAAGAUCAGCAUAAUUCUCCCCCACAACAGCUGCCAUUGCAGCAGCAGCCACAACAGCAAACUAUGCAUCUGCAAGCAGCACAGGGCAGCUUGUAUCACAAGCAUUCUAAUUCUAAGUUUGAAUGAAUUAGUAUAGUUGAUGGAGCAGUGCUGACAGCAAUGGGUCCUGCUAGGGCUGGGUUUGCAUGCUCUUGUAACAGCAUUGUACAGAUGAAGCUGACUAUUUUAUUAGGGUAUUGCGUUGUGGAAAUAGGUCGCUGCCAUUUGCAGGUUAGAAAUUCACUGGAAAAAGGACUUAGUUUUUGUUUCUGCUUUCUUUUCGGAUUUUGAGGGAUUAUGUAUAUGGCUGCUUUAGAGCAUAGCGAAGAUGGAGACAGAUAUAGAGGCAUUUGUACAUAGGUCACAUCUCCAUUUUCUUUGUACUUUCUUCCUCUUUUUCCAUGUUCUUCAUAGAAGGGGCCUUAUUUCCUUUUGCCCGUUAGAUUAGUUCAUGUAUUAUUACCCUUUCAGAUCAAAGCAGUAGCAAUCAUUUUUAUGGGCAAAAGCCUUCAGAAA